CAGGGAUUCAAGAUUUCUGAAGCUCAAGAGUGGUCUGUAACAAUGGCGGUGGCUUUCCCCACAAUUUAAAGGUGUGACUCUGUUCACAAUUGGCUGCUCCACGUAGUGUAGAGAUUGUUUAUGCUCCUAAACUUCAUGCGAGCUCUUCUUCCUCUCAUAAAAAUCCUUUUAUUGCAAAUUAAGUGUUUGCUGAGAUAAUAUACCAGUCAGAAUCAUUCAAAUUAAGUCUGAUGCUUAAGCUCCAAGGUUGAUCCUUUUUCAUUUUCAGUCCACUUUGAAUAAUUUUGUCAUUGCAGGUAACACAUCAAAUCAUAUAAACAUGGACGUUUACUACCAGGACUAUAUAUGAUGUGAAAAUAAAAGUGAUCAGCUUAGAAAAAUUUCUGUGGUGAAGAAGCUUGUUUGACUUUUCUCUCUGGUCCUACUUCAAGAGGGUUGUAUUGUUUUAUAGACAUUUGUGUCUGCGACUCCUGGUGAAGUAAAAAAAAUUAAUUUAAA
rnacentral:lncRNA from 1 species